rnacentral:siRNA from 1 species
CGGUUAAGAUUGUCUACUUUAGA